CCUACGGGAGGCAGCAGUAGGGAAUAUUGCUCAAUGGGGGAAACCCUGAAGCAGCAACGCCGCGUGGAGGAUGAAGGUUUUCGGAUUGUAAACUCCUUUUGUUAGAGAAGAUAAUGACGGUAUCUAACGAAUAAGCACCGGCUAACUCCGUGCCAGCAGCCGCGGUAAUACGGAGGGUGCAAGCGUUACUCGGAAUCACUGGGCGUAAAGAGCGCGUAGGCGGGAUAGCAAGUCAGAUGUGAAAUCCUAUGGCUUAACCAUAGAACUGCAUUUGAAACUGGUAUUCUAGAGUAUGGGAGAGGUAGGUGGAAUUCUUGGUGUAGGGGUGAAAUGCGUAGAGAUCAAGAGGAAUACUCAUUGCGAAGGCGACCUGCUAGAACAUAACUGACGCUGAUGCGCGAAAGCGUGGGGAGCAAACAGGAUUAGAUACCCCGGUAGUC
rnacentral:rRNA from 1 species